rnacentral:ncRNA from 1 species
AUAUAAGCGAUGAUAAGAACAAGUAGUAGUUAAAGGAAAAGUAUACAGAAAGUAACCGGUUGAUGAGAGGUGCAUACUUAUUUGAUUGCGAAUACAUCUUUGAGCUUCGCACUGAAGAGCCUUGGCUUGGUAGGAUGUGACGUAUUCACACGUUAUAGUGACAGAGUAUUCCAAUGAGUACUUGCAGAGGUGAGUAAUGUGAAUUACUCAUAAAUUAAGGUGGUAACGCGAGAUAGCUCUCGUCCUUUUG